rnacentral:lncRNA from 1 species
AUGAUUUAAUUCUGCCAUUUCACCUCAUUGUAAAUCCUAGGCACAGGAGUCUAUGUGGCACUGCCCUGACUACAGUUCUACCCUGUCUCCAGCUCUUACACAUCAUCACAUCAGCAGAGAUGGGAAAUCAGUAUUCCCAGAGCCUGGCAGAGGGCUGCACAGCGAGCAAGGUGCAGGCAAAUGCACUGCACACCCUGACAGAGGCCCCAGAACAGGACUUCCUGGAUAGGAAGAGCAGGUCCACCUCUUCUGUCCUUGACUCCUCACUGGAGCUCAACCCCCAGGUGGAUUCCCUGGGUGAGUUUCUCCUGGACCAGCUGGAGCCUCCUGAACCCCCUGAGGCAGAGCCCCAGGAGGACUGUGUGCCAGCUCCAGCCUCCGAUGAAGUCCCACCUGCUGACCUCCUGCCCACUCCACCUGCAGCUCCCUCACCAGCUCUGGCCCCACAACGAGAGCCAACACCUGGAACCUCUUCACCAGCUGCAGAGCUGGAACUCCUGGUGGCUCAACAGCAGAUCUCAUCUCUUGAACUCUACAGGGAGGUCUACAGAGCUCUUGACCCACACCCGCCAUUCCCCUCUCUUACUGAUUUACUUAUUAUUGUAUUUAUUGCUACCCUUAUUUCUCAGAGAUAAGUCAAUGAUAGAAUUAAUGUAAAUAAAAUUUAAGAUUUUUGUCUUGUUUAAAAUGAUCAGCUCACUGCAUUCUCAGUCAUUUGCAAUGUUGUGCAACCUUCACCACUGUCCCAUUCUACAACAUUUCCCUCAAUUCUGUACCCA